rnacentral:rRNA from 1 species
UACGGAGGGUGCAAACGUUGCUCGGAAUCAUUGGGCGUAAAGCGCACGUAGGUGGCCUGUUAAGUCGGGUGUGAAAUCCCUGGGCUCAACCCAGGAAGUGCACUCGAAACUGGCAGGCUUGAGUACUGAAGAGGGUCGCGGAAUUCCCGGUGUAGAGGUGAAAUGCGUAGAUAUCGGAAGGAACACCAGUGGCGAAAGCGGCUUCCUGGUCCGACACCGACGUUCAGGCACGAAAGCGUGGGGAGCAAACAGG